CAAUAGCGUAUAUUAAAAUUGUUGCAGUUAAAACGCUCGUAGUUGAAUAUCUGGUGUGACAGGUCGGUCCGCUUCUGCGUGCACCGCGCCUUGUCACGGCAUCCGUUUGCGGCAUCCGCUGCAAACCGUUCACUUUGAGGAAAUUAGAGUGUUCAAAGCAGGCUCACGCCUUGAAUACUUCAGCAUGGAAUGAUUGCUAGGACAUCCGUCCUAUCAGUUGGUUCUAGGGGCGAAUGUAAUGAUUAAUAGGGUCGGUCGGGGGCAUUCGUAUUGAACAGCUAGAGGUGAAAUUCUUAGAUUUGUUCAAGACGAACCACUGCGAAAGCAUUUGCCAAGGACGUACCCAUUAAU
rnacentral:rRNA from 1 species